rnacentral:tRNA from 1 species
GGUCUCCGCUACCCGACCAGGGCGAUUGGUCCGCCUGAAAAGCGGAAGGUCGGCGGUUCGACCCCGCCCCUGACCA